rnacentral:ncRNA from 1 species
AGAAUCCGCGCGCUUCAAGGUGCCGGACGAGCCAUCGUUCGGUUAAACGGGAAACAGGUGUGAUACCUGUGCUGCCCCCGCAACGGUAAGCAAGGAAGGGCGCGUCAACAUGCCACUGUGAGUAAUCAUGGGAAGGCGAUGUGUCCAAGUCGGCGAUGACGACCUUGUGAGCCCGGAUACCGGCCUAGGAGUUUGGUUAGGA